GUCGUUUCUCUUUGCAUUUGUCCCGCAGUCGACCUACAGCCGUAUGGAGACUCGAAGGUCUGGACCUGCAGCCCUCACUGCUGUUUCAUGGCUCGGUGUUUCCGCAAGACGUGGGGACAGGUGCCUCAGCCAAGCGAAGGCGCAGGUGUGGGGAUCACUCAUUCGAAGGGUUUCUCCUUCCGGCUCCACUGCUCAAAACUGAUUUCUGUCCAGUGCCAUCAGGACUUUGUCUGUGCAGCUGACUUUGAGGGUGGAUGAGGAGGCAUCUUCUCUCUGCCACAAACCGAGGUUUCCCUCCCCUUGGACGGCUGCAUGUGUUGCCCAGAGGUCCUUUCUGGUCCCUACCUCCGCCCCUCUCUGGCUCUGCCCCCGCACAGCCACAGAGGUUGCAGGGUGCGUGGUGCUCACUAUCAAAUGCUGUGGUUGGAACUAAAAGGGGGGAGAGAGCCAGGACAAUGGAGUUCACAAUGGUCACUGAAGAAUGUUUGGGUUUCUGUACACGUCGUGCACAGCAGCCGGAGUUAACAUGCAGUCAGACAGAGGCACACAGCCCAUCUGCAGGCCUGUCUGCGGGACGUUGGGUCAGAGGAGAGCAGAGGUCACAGUGAGGCUCCAUCACCCCAGACUCACAGCAGGAGGAGGAGGAGGAGGAGGCAGUGGAGGAGGAAAAAGAGAAACAGAGUGGGUGGAAGAAUGGAAAGAGAGGAGGAUAGAAGCAGUCGAGGAGGUGGUUUCGAAGCGGGUGAACCCAGAGCAGGUGAACACAGCUGUGGAUCGCCAUGGGCUCUCUGGCUGUCUUCCUCCUGUGGCCCCCGUGCUGCAUACAGGGGUCCCGGGGAGCCAGCAGGGGCCAGCCAAAGCUGCAGCAGAGUGGGCAGGCUAG
rnacentral:lncRNA from 1 species